GAUUAGUUCCUCUAAUAUUAAGAGCGCCUGAUAUAGCAUUCCCCCGAAUAAAUAAUAUAAGAUUUUGAUUAUUACCCCCAUCAUUAUCUUUACUAGUAAUAAGAAGUUUAAUUGAAAGCGGAGCAGGAACUGGUUGAACAGUUUAUCCCCCCUUAUCCGCUAAUAUUGCACAUAGAGGAUCUUCUAUUGAUUUAGUAAUUUUCAGACUUCAUUUAGCUGGAAUUUCAUCAAUUUUAGGAGCUGUAAAUUUUAUUUCAACUAUUAUUAAUAUGCGACCAUUAAAUAUAAUAUUUGAUCAAAUACCCCUUUUUGUUUGAGCAGUAUUAAUUACAACUAUUCUACUUCUAUUAGCUUUACCAGUAUUAGCAGGGGCAAUUACUAUAUUACUAACAGAUCGUAAUAUAAAUUCAAGAUUUUUUGACCCAAUAGGAGGGGGAGACCCA
rnacentral:rRNA from 1 species